rnacentral:piRNA from 1 species
UACAGGAUCGCUACGGUUCCUACUGAUCCA